AUGAUCAGUGAUAUAACCAGUCUGAUUUUCCUGUUUUACUGGACUGCAGUUUUAGCAGAAGAUAACGGAGUCCACCAAAUCCCCGGUGUCCUCUGGCAUGUGAAAGGAGAAUCUGCUGAAAUGAAGUGCAGUCAUAAUAAAGGUGCUCUCUACUAUCAGAUGUACUGGUACAGACAGCGCCAAGGAGAGAGCAUGGAGCUCAUUGUUUACAAAACAACCAGUGGUGAACCAGAGUUUGGCUCUGUGGAUAAAAAUAAAUUUUCUACUGUUAAAAACAUUGCUGCAAAUGGAUCUUUAACUGUGAAGGAUCUGGAUAUAGAGGACAGUGCUGUGUAUUUCUGUGCAGUAAGUGAACACAGUGUUACAGAGUUACUGCACUGCUGA